rnacentral:misc_RNA from 1 species
UUUCCGUAGGUGAACCUGCGGAAGGAUCAUUAACGAGUAGGGGUCAUUCUAGCCCGACCUCAAACCCUUUGUUUAAUUACCAUGUUGCUUUGGCGUGCCCGUUUCACGACCGCCCGAAGACCUCGGACUUCUCCCCCGUGCCCGCCAAUAGUCUUCUACAAACUAUUGAUCCAUUGUGAUGUCUGAGUAAUAAAUUUAAUAGUUAAAACUUUCAACAACGGAUCUCUUGGUUCUG